AUUCCUAAUUCCAGAAAAAAAAGUGACAUAAGACACAAAAGAAGUGUAUGUCUGCUGUGUUUUGUAAUUUAAAAUGCAAUUUAAAAUGCCACACUUCUCCCCAAUUCCUGUUGUAUGUGUUCCUACAGCAGAGUUCUUCAAAUCUGGACCUCGAUUCCAAAUCCAGGCCUUGUUUUCAGUUCUCCCAGGUAGAUAGUUUAAUAAUUACUGAUUCUGAUUGGUCAGAGGCUUCACACCUGACUGACAGGUAAAGGAAGGCUGGAAAACCAGCAGUGCUCGGACCUCGAGGACCGUGAUUUGAAUAACCCUGCCCUACAGUAUCCCUGGUAUUUCCAUCUGUUUCCAGCUAUUCACUUUGAUUUUUUUUGUUAACAACCAAUGAUAAACAAUAACAAGUUGCUGCAGCACACUGGAGUUUUCCUGGGUCUGUGGGUGGACAGCUACAAGCUGCAAUUUCACGAUGCCUCACACUCCCACUGUAGGAUCCUGUCAUCAGAAGCAGCUGAAGCCACUGACCAGAGGAGUCAGGGACAGCAGCUUAUUGCCUGUGAGAUUUGUCAGCUGCACAUCCAUGCUGCAAAUCUCCCAUUGUGCCACAUCCCAAAGGUGUUCUACUGGAUUCAGAUCCAGUGACAGGGGAGGCCACUGAAGAACACUGAACUUAUUGUCAUGUUCCUGAAACUUGUUUGAGAUGACUUUUGCUUUGUGACGUGAUGUGCAAUGAGGCCCCCAUAUCCACGGCAGUUCCCCGCAGUUCGAAUCAUAAAGUUUAAUAAUUCUAGAAACGAUUCAUAAGUUUCAAACUGUGUGCCAAGCGAGUACAGGCUAUAAACCAGUGAGUACCCAGAAUAGGCUAAAAUAAUAUAAAAUAAUUUUUUCUCAUUACUGGUUAUGUACUGGUAUAUGAUACACAUUUUACAAUGAAAAAUAUUGUAACAGUAGCCUGUAUUUUUCCAUGUUUCCUUCGUUCUUUAAGGGGUAUAAAAAGCAUGAUUUACCUUGCUCUGCCAUCCCUUGCCAUUUUUCAUUGCUAUAUCGUUUCUUGAGAAUUAGGGUAAAACGUCUGAAUUCCUUUCAUUUGAGAGAGUACAGUACAAUUCAUUACUGUAUAAUACUGUUCAAUUUACUUUAUUUCUGUAUUUAGUGUUGGUAAUGUCUUACUGUGUGUAAUUUAUCAAUUAAACUUUACCAUUUCGAUGUACACAAAAA